rnacentral:rRNA from 1 species
GACGAACGCUGGCGGCGUGCUUAACACAUGCAAGUCGAACGGAAAGGCCCGGCUUUGUUGGGGUGCUCGAGUUGCGAACGGGGGAGUAACACUUGGGUAACCUGCCCUUGACUUUGGGAUAACUUCAUGAAGCUGGGGCUAAUACCAGAUAGGAGCUCCUGCUGCAGGGUGGGGGUGGGAAAGUUUCGGCGGUUGGUGAUGGACUCGCGGCUUAUCAGCUUGUUGGUGGGGUAGUGGCUGACCAAGACUUUGACGGGUAGCCGGCCUGAGAGGGUGACCGGACACAUUGGGACUGAGCUACGGCACAGCCUCCUACGGGAGGCAGCAGUGGGGAAUAUUGUACAAUGGGAGGAAGCAUGAUGUAGCCCCGCCGCGUGCGGGAUGACGGCAUUCGGGUUGUAAACCGAUUUCGCCUGUGACGAAGUGUGAGUGACGGUAAUGGGUAAAGAAGCACCGGCUAACUCCGUG